UCCCCCCCUCUCUCUUGAACAAAAUCUCUAGAUCUGGAUCUAAAGUGGUUUUCAGGACUGCAAUAUGGAUUCCAUCACCAUCAUAUGGUUUCUUUGAUCUUAUAAACAUCACAGCCGCGACGAACAAUUUCUCUUUCCAGAACAAGUGGAUUUGGUUCUGUCUAUGAGGGUGUGCUUUACAAUGGAAAGGAAAUAGCAGCGAUAAGGCUGUGAACAGAAGAUUAUAUGAAUACUUGAAAAAAACAGAGCGCUUUUGAAUUGGACAAGAUACUUAGAAAUAAUCUGUGGGAUUGCUGCUAUGGUGAUCUUAUAUCUUCAUCAAUAUUCAAGAUUAAGAAUCAUUUAUAGAGAUCUAAAGACAAGCAAUGUUCUAUGAGAUGCUUCUAUGUAUCCCAAAAUUGCAGAUUUUGGUAUGGCUAGGAUAUUUAAGGGAGAUCAAAAUGAAAAUAAAACAAAUCGUGUGGUUGGGACAUAGGGGAGAUGGAGAUGGUGUUGCUGCCUGCGAAGUGGUGGUUUGGUUGACGGUGUUGGGUGGGGGUGGGAGAGGCUGUCUGGAGUUGCGUGGGUUUGGGAUGUUGGUGGUUUAAGGGUGAUUGGACAUGACAAAAUAAUAAAAGACGUAUUGCCUGACAAAAUAAUAAAAUAUGCAUGACUAAUGGUGAUUGGACAUGAUGUACUUUUAGAUGGUGUUCAGAGUCAGUUUGUGUUUGUCACGAAUGUUGUUAAAAUGGUGAGAAUAGGCUUUAGUCACGGCUUCAUAUGUAACAAAGCCCAAAAUUGUAACAGCACCGUGACUAUUGCUUUUAUUCACCAAAAAAGGUGACUAAUGAUGCCAACAGUCACCAAUAAAAAGGUAACAAUUGUUGAUAUUUUUUUGUAGUGAUUAGAGGUCCCAAGUUUGAAACCCUCGUGGCAUGUUAGUUGUGUGCGUGUGUGUGAGAAACCCCCUCCUAUAUAAUAUAAACUAUCGCUUGUACUCAAAUUUUUUGGCUUCAAUGGGCAGUAUUAUUUUGACAUUUGAAUGUGAAAUAGAUCCGAAUUCAUACUCUAGCUGAGCAGUGGCUACGUUAGACAUUAUAAUUAUGAGUACAAA